rnacentral:rRNA from 1 species
GACGAACGCUGGCGGCGUGCUUAACACAUGCAAGUCGAGCGGAAAGGCCACUUCGGUGGUACUCGAGCGGCGAACGGGUGAGUAACACGUGAGUAAUCUGCCCUUGGCUUUGGGAUAGCCACCGGAAACGGUGAUUAAUACCGGAUACGACCACUUCUCGCAUGGGAUGGUGGUGGAAAGUUUUUCGGCCAGGGAUGUGCUCGCGGCCUAUCAGCUUGAUGGUGAGGUAUGGCUCACCAUGGCUUCGACGGGUAGCCGGUCUGAGAGGGUGACCGGUCACACUGGGACUGAGACACGGCCCAGACUCCUACGGGAGGCAGCAGUGGGGAAUAUUGGACAAUGGGCGGAAGCCUGAUCCAGCAACGCCGCGUGAGGGAUGACGGCCUUCGGGUUGUAAACCUCUUUCGGUGGGGACGAAGCGCAAGUGACGGUACCCACUAAAGAAGCACCGGCCAACUACGUGCCAGCCGCCGCGGUAA